rnacentral:tRNA from 1 species
GAAUAGGUAAGCUAAAAUUUAAAGCUAUUGGGCUCAUAACCCAACAAUGGAGUUAAUCCCUUAUUCA